rnacentral:lncRNA from 1 species
ACAAGAACAAAAAUAUGGUUCAGAAACAUGCAGUUUUUCUCGAAAACAAAUAACAUGACUUACUCAACCACUAACAAAAAUUAACUUCGUUCACUCCUCACUUGCUUGACGACGAGUUUCCAAUAACCCUUGCCAAUAUCUCCUGUUGCUUAGCCUCGUAGCAUUGUCGAAGUAGGGGGUUACAUUUACUCAGAUCCAUGCCCAAUAUCAUGACCUCCUCUUCCUUGUCCUCCUUCAAUUUCUGCCGAUCCAUCCUAAGUUUCUCCAGGUUUAGCUUCUUCCUCUCCAAGAUGAGUUUUUGCCUCUCGUUUUUGUUCAUAGACUCCAACUUCCUCUCCUCAAUUGAAGCUACUAAUUUGAACACAGACAACCGUUCCAAAGAUAUUUCACCCAUCCACCUGAGGUACUCAGAAAAAGUGGACGAUGUGUCAACAGACCUUUGCUUCUUUGCCUUUUCCUUGGACGAAUCAUGACCUAGCGGCCUCUUCGAAGUAAAGCUUGAUGGAACAGAGUCUUCAGCAUCUAAGUCUACAGUAUUUGAUUGGAUACCGAUUGGGUUGGGUGGUGGAUUUUGGUGACUCAUGUGUUGAUCCAUCCAUUUUGGUUGAUCCUUCAAUAUUGCCCAACAAUGUAAGAAAUGGAAGGGCUUAUUUUCAACAGCAGCUUACUACAGAUAUAACCCCUAUAUGUAAAAUAUCUCAACUAACAAAAUGACAACUUACUGCAGAAGGGUCACUCUCACAGAAGGCCUCAAGGCAAAUGUUGCAUGCAUCCUGAAUGCCACCCUCCACAAAGGCUGCAGCAGAUGUCAAACUCUCCAUCUUAGCUUUCUCAUCAGUUUCAGAUGCCAUUGCAAUGGAAUCACAGCCCUGAAACCAAACAGGCAAAA